rnacentral:rRNA from 1 species
GACGAACGCUGGCGGCGUGCUUAACACAUGCGAGUCGAACGGAAAGGCCCUGCUUGCAGGGUACUCGAGUGGCGAACGGGUGAGUAACACGUGGGUGAUCUGCCCUGCACUUCGGGAUAAGCUUGGGAAACUGGGUCUAAUACCGGAUAGGAGCCAUCUUUAGUGUGGUGGUUGGAAAGUUUUUUCGGUGUAGGAUGGGCUCGCGGCCUAUCAGCUUGUUGGUGGGGUAAUGGCCUACCAAGGCGGCGACGGGUAGCCGGCCUGAGAGGGUGUACGGCCACAUUGGGACUGAGAUACGGCCCAGACUCCUACGGGAGGCAGCAGUGGGGAAUAUUGCACAAUGGGCGCAAGCCUGAUGCAGCGACGCCGCGUGGGGGAUGAAGGCCUUCGGGUUGUAAACUCCUUUCGCUAGGGACGAAGCUUUUUUGUGACGGUACCUAGAGAAGAAGCACCGGCUAACUACGUG